CCGCCCGUCACACCAUGGGAGUUGGCUUUACCCGAAGGCGCUGCGCUGACCGCAAGGAGGCAGGCGACCACGGUGAGAUUCAUGACUGGGGUG
rnacentral:rRNA from 1 species